AUAAAUACUAAUUGAAUAUUAAGAACAUAUUUGUGCAGAAGGAGCUGCUUUCGAUGAGCCGUGCCCUUUGCCAGCCAGAUGUUUGGACUCAUUUUGGAGGCUGAGUCAUCAGCUGGGAGGCCCUGGCAUUUGGGCUCUGCUGCUCUGUGUCUGGGGAGGAAGGCAGGCAGCCCGAGGAGGACUGGCUCCCAGGUAUAUGCCAGGUAUGCUGCUUGGGGAGAUCACCGUCUGCCCUCUUGGCCAGAUGCCCUUGUUCAGUGAACAACCUUCCCAACUGUACAUGGCAACCCUGCCUACAGCGUUGUCAUGAGAAUAAACGAGACAUCACACACCUUCUUUGGAAAGACAGACGAGAGGAUGUUGACACAUGAACCAAGAACCGGAGAGGAGACAGCUCCUGUCACCGCACUGAAGGCAGCAGAGGGUCUGCAGAGCCUGAUGCGAGAGCGUCUCCCCAAAGCUCUGGUCCCGGGGCCCUUGGAGCCGCUGUGCGAGGACCCCUCCCUCCACCCCGGUUCUUGCAUUAGUCCCUGGACUUGGGGAUUGCCGCCCACAGCUGUGCAGAGCUCAGAGGCAGCCCAGAGACAAAGAUUCUAACCCAACUGCACGCAAGUUGAACUGGGAGGUGAUCCCUGGAUGCGCUGGGAGGGAGGUGGGGAGGGAGACAGGGCUGCAAUGUGGGGCACGGGGGCUCUGGGGACCCCUGGGAGAGACCAGAGCUCCGCACGAGGUGAGGCUGCCAUAAGGCUGCUGCUGGGGGGCGGUGCUGAUGCCAGUCAUCACUCCUGGGCCGGGAGGGCCCCUUCCUGUGACAGAAUUCCUAGUAGACCCGGGGGGCCUUGGUCCUCAGGACAGCCCUUGCUGUGCGCCAGGCACUGUUGUAUUAGGUCACCCCCCUGUUGCAGGGGGACGUGAGGCUCAGAGAGGUGGGGUGACUUUCCUAACAUCACAGAGUUAGUGAGCAACAGAGUUAGUCACAGGCUCGCUGUUCUGUGUGAGCUGCACUGCUGGAAACCCACCAGGCACGAAGGGGUCUACAGGGAGAAGCCCCCACCUUGUCCCACGGCCUCCCAGCGCCCC
rnacentral:lncRNA from 1 species